rnacentral:rRNA from 1 species
AACGAACGCUGGCGGCAUGCCUAACACAUGCAAGUCGAACGAAGCCUUCGGGCUUAGUGGCGCACGGGUGCGUAACGCGUGGGAAUCUGCCCCUUGCUUCGGAAUAACAGUUAGAAAUGACUGCUAAUACCGGAUGAAGUCUUCGGACCAAAGAUUUAUCGGCAAGGGAUGAGCCCGCGUAGGAUUAGGUAGUUGGUAGGGUAAAGGCCUACCAAGCCGACGAUCCUUAGCUGGUCUGAGAGGAUGAUCAGCCACACUGGGACUGAGACACGGCCCAGACUCCUACGGGAGGCAGCAGUGGGGAAUAUUGGACAAUGGACGCAAGUCUGAUCCAGCAAUGCCGCGUGAGUGAUGAAGGCCUUAGGGUUGUAAAGCUCUUUUACCAGGGAUGAUAAUGACAGUACCUGGAGAAUAAGCUCCGGCUAACUCCGUG